rfam:Pongo abelii chromosome 13.
AUAAUGGUUUUAUUUAAAACCAUGCAAAGAAAUAAAAUAAUUUGU